GCACCUCUCACACCUCCAACUUGUCAUAGUAAUAAUAAGCUGAUAAUAAACAGCAGCACAGAAGCCUUCAGUCUAAUGGACGUCGUCUCCUCACUGACUCGGACAAACGUCUCCUGUUUCUGAGCCAAAGACUGCAAAGUGCAUCUCGUCAAGCUGUAUUUUGACAACGGGCGGCCAAUCAAGUUGAUGGCACGGAGCCUUUCUAACCUGGAAGCCAAGCUGGGAAUACAUCUUGCUAAUUGGCCAAUGUGACAGCUCAGCGGGGAGCAGAAAAUGACAGUUUGAAGCAGCAGAUCUGGGGACAGUGAUUUAGUCAAGGAGACAGGGCAGAGUGAUUUAUGCAUUGAGUCUGGAGAAGAAAACAAACAUUUCAUCUCAGCAACAAUGGAUUAAAAACAUUCUCUGAGCAUCCGACAUUGAUUCAAGCCUUCUGGACUAUGACGGCCCAGUAACCCAGGGACAUGGUCACUAGUGAAUGAGGAGCUCGGCAAUUGUCCUUCUCCGCACAGACACUACCGCACAGACUGUACAGCGAAUUCUGCAGGAAACCAGCAGCCAGUUAAAGAAAUUGAUGUGCCAAAAGUAGAAAAAAAGAAGGUGAGAGAUAAGGGCAUAGUUGUAUUUUUAAUGAUAAAAUUAACAUUUCCUGUAAAACCUGUUGGCAAGUGCCAGUUAUACAUUAUGUAAGUCACACAGACCUUUGCCAAAUCUCUGUCCUGUUGCAUUACAGUCACAUUGGGCUGGUGCCAAUCAGUAAACUAGAACAGAUACAUCAAGUUAUUAUUAACCUCGCUCUCUCCUAAUAACUUGUCUCCAACAAACUACUGGCACCCAGUGUCACCCCAUCACAUGGGCAGCGGAUAUUCCCCCAGCUGUUCCCUUACAGACACACACCGUGGCUUUUUAAUCUGAGAAAUGGGGCAACCACAGGCAUUCUACAUACAACUACCCCUCCCAGCAUUCUAAAGGGGUUCUGGGAGUUGUAAGUAAACAACAACAUUUCCCCAGAGAUCUAUAUCCUGCAUAAAUAAGACCUGCAGCCUUGUGCCUUUAUAUAGCCAGGGAACCUCAGUGACCUCUAAUAUCCUUAUAUAUUACAGCAGGGGGUGGAGUAUACCCAAUAUAAACACAGAGAUAUAUCAUCACUCUGUAACCAGCAUCAGUCGUUUAUUAGGAGAUGAUCAAUAACGAGACACAGCUCUUCCCUGGAAGCAGUUAAACACACAAAUAAGCUACACUAUAUGAUCCUUCACUAUAUUUUCCAUUCAAAUAUAAAAAGUGAUAUUUUCCUAAAUUCCCUAGAGAAUUAAAGAAACCAUUAUUUGAUUCUGAAGGAGAGCAAGCCCUAAUUACAACACACCUUGUUUCUGGCUAACACAAUACAAUUAGUAACCAAAACAACAGGAAGGUGCUGUACGUGCCUCUCAUGCUCUUGCUGAACUACAUGUUUUAGCAUCCCGAUGGCUACAGACGGGAACUGUAAUUCAUCAGCUCAGUCCCACCCUGUGUCUCAUACCCCCCGUCUCCGUGUAUUGAUCAUGCACCCACCAUUCUCUUGUACAGCACUGUGGAAUAUGUUGGUGAUUCAGCAACAUGUAAUAAUAUCAAGAACUAAAUUAGUGAACAGGGGAAUUUCUGUGCAGUGGAACACACACAACUGCACACAGACACACCCCGAGUGAGUUUUAAUGUCACAUUUUGAUCAAUAUGCCCCUUAGUCUUAUGGAAAGUGUUAGGCAACAAUCACUGACGGCUAUGGGUAUGGCUAUGGGUUAGUGAGUAAAUGAAUGAUGUAGGGGCAGACAAUGUUAAGGACGAAUAUCAUUAUAACAUGAAGCCAUUGGCAAAUGAAACAAUUCUCAAGCUGUGCCAAAAUCAGGCAGAUGCAAGUGUUGGACCCGGGGCUAAUGGUGGCCAUAGAUGUAACAAUUACGAUCGUUCUUGGAAAAGAUGUUUCCAAGACAGAUCGUUCAUUUCAAUACACACGUGUAGAGCUGAAUGGUCAGAUAUAGAAA